GGAAAAUUAACUCCAACCUAACUGAAAGCAGGGCGUAAAUUAUAGUGAUGUAUAGAACCUAGUCUUUGUAUUUAACCUUCUUGAAGGCUGUGACUAAUUUGCUUUAACAAAGAUGGUUAAGUCUCUUUGGAUUUAUGUCAUGAUCUCUUAAAGCAAACGCUUUCAGAAAGGCACCAGUUGUUAUUGAUUGUCCUGUUGGGUGUGCCUUGUGCCAUCUUGGGAAGCUUAUUCUUCUGGCUCUUUGAAUUAUUAUUUUUCUUUAAAGGAUUGUUGAUAUUCUUUUUACUCCCAGAAGAUCUGGAAUCAGUUCUUUUGAAACUCGGACUGCAAGCUAUUUCUGUGAAUGUAGAUCUGCUUAAUGCAUGCAGAUAGAAUAGGAAUAGUACCGAUAUUGGGGUAAUUUAUUCUGAAAUGCAGCAAAAAUUUGAGUUGAUACAUUUGCCUUUUCUUCUUUGAUACGCAAAAAAAUAGGAAACUGUCAAGUAUUAUAGUUGUCCCUAUACUGAGGCAGGUAAAGUAAUAAUUUGUUUUGGAAUAAGCAGUUGACAAACACCUUUUCUUUCACUGCCAAUCUUACCUUUGCUUACCAUGUAUUUCAUGCACGCUGUUAUGUUAUCAUAGUGCUUACAGCAUCUUUAUUUUUUUUUGUUGUACCUAUGUUUUUUUAUCUGGCUGGGAAUACAGAAAAUUAUCAGUUUAAACAGGUAUUAAGUUAUUCAAGUUUAUUUUUCUGUGUUCACAUAUACAACAAACACAGAUAAGCUCAUAACACAUGGCUAGUAUUACCUAAGUGUAGGCAAGUUACGCUUGUAUUAAAAAUUGAAAAAUCUGCUUUCUUGCCUUUGUUUAGAUGUUUUGUUUCCUUUUCAGCUGCUUAGAAUUUCCUUCAGGUGUUGGCGCAUUAACCAAGCAAAGGAAGAGAUUAGAAAGAAUUGCUUCAUGCGAUGUUGCUAAAAUUUUAACAGCUUACACUUGGAGAGCCUCAGAGAUCAUUUUUCAGGACAGCCUUAAGACAUUGUGGAUGGAAGACCUCUGUGGCUUCUCUGUUGAUGGCAGAAUGGCCUAGACCAGUCUGUUGCUCUAUGGUUCCUACCACGGGUGCUCUACAGCAAUGCAGUGGGAUUUCACCACCAGUGCUUGUGGACCUUCCAGAUGGCUGUAAAUCUGCAGAGGAGGUUAGUGCAAAAUGUAAUCCAGGAUUUUUAUUUUUU
rnacentral:lncRNA from 1 species